rnacentral:rRNA from 1 species
UACGUAGGGGGCAAGCGUUGUCCGGAGUUACGGGGCGUAAAGCGCACGCAGGCGGUCUUUUAAGUUUGGCGUGACAGUUGGUGGCUUAACUGCCAAAGUGCUUCGAAAACUGACAGACUUGAGGGCUUCAGAGGGACACGGAAUUCCGGGUGGAGUGGUGAAAUGCGUAGAGAUCCGGAGGAACACCAAAGGCGAAGGCAGUGUCCUGGGGAGUACCUGACGCUCAGGUGCGAAAGCCAGGGGAGCGAACGGG